rnacentral:rRNA from 1 species
AAGGGUGAUACUAUCGCCAAGGUUUUGGAAUCAUUUCCGCCAAAUGUGACAUUCAGAAGGGAUUUAAUUGGACCUAGACUCCAAUCGUGGAACAUACUACUCCAGCGGUUAGCCACGAUACACUUGUCACAAGGGUCCGAUGUAUUUCGUUGGAACCUACAUGGGAAUGGGAAAUUCUCAGUAGAUUCUAUGCAUAGAGCUUUGAUCCAGUCUGACGUGCCAGUUGAUAAUAAUAAGAUCUGGAAGAUGAAGAUACCUCUUAAUAAUAAAAUCUUUGCAUGGUAUCUUUGUCGCGGAGUCAUUCUUACUAAAGAUAACCUUAUUAAGAGGAAUUGGCAUGGAAGUACACAAUGUGUCUUUUGUCCGCAUGAUGAGACAAUAAAACAUUUAUUCUUCCAAUGUAAAUUGGCUCGUUCUAUAUGGUCAAUGAUCCAAAUAGCGUCUGGCUUGUAUCCUCCUUGUAGUGUUGCUAAUAUAUUGGCAACUGGCUACAUGUGA